CUUUCUUUGCUGGCGACCGGCGCACGGGUGAGUAACACGUAUCCAACCUGCCCUUUACUCGGGGAUAGCCUUUCGAAAGAAAGAUUAAUACCCGAUAGUAUAAUGAUUCCGCAUGGUUUCAUUAUUAAAGGAUUCCGGUAAAGGAUGGGGAUGCGUUCCAUUAGGUUGUUGGUGAGGUAACGGCUCACCAAGCCUUCGAUGGAUAGGGGUUCUGAGAGGAAGGCCCCCCACAUUGGAACUGAGACACGGUCCAA
rnacentral:rRNA from 1 species